rnacentral:rRNA from 1 species
AAGUCGAGCGAACAGAUGAGAAGCUUGCUUCUCUGAUGUUAGCGGCGGACGGGUGAGUAACACGUGGGUAACCUACCUAUAAGACUGGGAUAACUCCGGGAAACCGGGGCUAAUACCGGAUAAUAUUUUGAACCGCAUGGUUCAAUAGUGAAAGACGGUUUCGGCUGUCACUUAUAGAUGGACCCGCGCCGUAUUAGCUAGUUGGUAAGGUAACGGCUUACCAAGGCGACGAUACGUAGCCGACCUGAGAGGGUGAUCGGCCACACUGGAACUGAGACACGGUCCAGACUCCUACGGGAGGCAGCAGUAGGGAAUCUUCCGCAAUGGGCGAAAGCCUGACGGAGCAACGCCGCGUGAGUGAUGAAGGUCUUCGGAUCGUAAAACUCUGUUGUUAGGGAAGAACAAAUUUGUUAGUAACUGAACAAGUCUUGACGGUACCUAACCAGAAAGCCACGGCUAACUACGUGCCAGCAGCCGCGGUAAUACGUAGGUGGCAAGCGUUAUCCGGAAUUAUUGGGCGUAAAGCGCGCGUAGGCGGUUUCUUAAGUCUGAUGUGAAAGCCCACGGCUCAACCGUGGAGGGUCAUUGGAAACUGGGAAACUUGAGUGCAGAAGAGGAGAGUGGAAUUCCAUGUGUAGCGGUGAAAUGCGCAGAGAUAUGGAGGAACACCAGUGGCGAAGGCGGCUCUCUGGUCUGUAACUGACGCUGAUGUGCGAAAGCGUGGGGAUCAAACAGGAUUAGAUACCCUGGUAGUCCACGCCGUAAACGAUGAGUGCUAAGUGUUAGGGGGUUUCCGCCCCUUAGUGCUGCAGCUAACGCAUUAAGCACUCCGCCUGGGGAGUACGACCGCAAGGUUGAAACUCAAAGGAAUUGACGGGGACCCGCACAAGCGGUGGAGCAUGUGGUUUAAUUCGAAGCAACGCGAAGAACCUUACCAAAUCUUGACAUCCUUUGACCGCUCUAGAGAUAGAGUCUUCCCCUUCGGGGGACAAAGUGACAGGUGGUGCAUGGUUGUCGUCAGCUCGUGUCGUGAGAUGUUGGGUUAAGUCCCGCAACGAGCGCAACCCUUAAGCUUAGUUGCCAUCAUUAAGUUGGGCACUCUAGGUUGACUGCCGGUGACAAACCGGAGGAAGGUGGGGAUGACGUCAAAUCAUCAUGCCCCUUAUGAUUUGGGCUACACACGUGCUACAAUGGAUAAUACAAAGGGCAGCGAAUCCGCGAGGCCAAGCAAAUCCCAUAAAAUUAUUCUCAGUUCGGAUUGUAGUCUGCAACUCGACUACAUGAAGCUGGAAUCGCUAGUAAUCGUAGAUCAGCAUGCUACGGUGAAUACGUUCCCGGGUCUUGUACACACCGCCCGUCACACCACGAGAGUUUGUAACACCCGAAGCCGGUGGAGUAACCUUUUAGGAGCUA